rnacentral:rRNA from 1 species
UACGUAGGUGGCAAGCGUUUGUUCGGAAUUAUUGGGCGUAAAGGGCGCGUAGGCGGCCAUGCGUGUCUUCCGUGAAAUCCCUCGGCUUAACUGAGGACGUGCGGAAGAAACUGCAAGGCUCGAGUCCGGGAGAGGGGGGGUGGAAUUCCCAGUGUAGCGGUGAAAUGCGUAGAUAUUGGGAGGAACACCGGUGGCGAAGGCGGCCCCCUGGACCGGUACUGACGCUGAGGCGCGAAAAGCGUGGGGAGCAAACAGG